UCAGAAACUGAAAUUAGGUAAAAAAUCCCAUUUAUGUUAAACAGAGGUGCUGACUGCAAACAGAUCUCAUCACUUUUGGGGGCUGUGGUUGUGCCCCUCAAAGUAAACUGGUAGGUUCUACACUC